rnacentral:lncRNA from 1 species
UAAAUAUGUGCGGGCACUGGAAAAAUAAUCAAAAAUAGAAAGGGCGAGAAUUAUUUUAGGUGAAAAUUAAUCUCUGAUAUAUGAGAAGACAAAAGAUACAUAAGUGCGGCAACUGAGAAUAACAGAAAAAAGGGCGAGAAACAUUAAGCUGAAAAUUAAUCUCGACCACAAAGCAUAGAUAAUUAGUAAUUAGUUGCGAUGGUUGCGAAACCAUGCAGCGGGAUCGCUCUCGAAAUCCUUCCUCGGAAUGAAGUAGUCUUUUCCAGGAGCUUUCAUCGUCUUUUCGUUAGAACUUCCGAACAAGAGACCCCAAAUCGCCACGGCAGCGACACCAACAGCCGCCCCUACCGCCAUUAGAGUCGACAACACUACAAGAAAUUAAGGGUUUUAGCCACACAUAAUUUGUGACACAUUAUUAUGUGUGGCAGUAUAGCCACACAUAAUUAAAUAUGUGUAGGUAAAUUCAUUUAACAGUUUUAAAUAAUUAAUGACAUUUAAUUAUGUGUAGGUAAAAAGAUUUAGUCACAUUCAUUUUUUAUUUUUAUUUUCCGUUUAACUCUUAAUAUAUUUUAUGCUGACGUGGAAAUUUUAGCCACACAUAAUUUGUGGCAAUACACCCACACAUAAUUGAAUAUGUGUAGGUAAAUUGAGUAGAUGAUUUUAAAUAGUUAAAGACAUUUAAUUAUGUGUGGGUAAAAAUAUUUAGUCACAUUUAUUUUUUAUUUUUAUUUUUUGUUUAAUUCUUAAUAUAAAUACAAUUACGCUGAUGUGGCAAAUUAAUAACGAUCAUUAGCUACAUCAUAAAUUUAAUUUAAGAUGUUAGAUUCAAAAUCUAGAAUAAGUAAUUCAAGUAUUGAAAUUUAAAUUGUCGGACAAGUUUCUCAAUCAUAAUUAAAAUUAAUUUCGUAAAGAUGAAAUGAAAUGAUAUAUAAAAAUUUACACUCAUGAAAAAUUAUUAAUUAUACUUUUCCAUGAAUAAUUGGUUAAAAAUUUAAAUAUGUUAUAUUAGUUAAUAAUUGUACUUUUUUAUGAAAGUUAUAUAUAAUAAAGCAAUAUACAAAAUAUGAUAAUUGUUGCCAAAAAAUGCAAUUAUAUAAAAUUAUUGAAAACUAAAAGUUUAAAACAAACAUUUACCCACAAAAAUUAGAAAACAUUUUAUUUUACCGCUAAUCUUCACAAAACGUUUUCAUUUUACCGCCAGAUGCUAAAACCCUCCACAUAUUCGGCAGUUACUCCAAGCGAUCCCCACAUCCCUCUCCAAAUACUCCAAACAAAGCUCUAAUUUUUCCUUUUCAUGGGCUGUUUAUCGGGAGACGACAGCGCGAUGAGGAUAGGCGAUGAGGUGCCGUUGAAGUUGAGGUUGGAGGAAGUGGAGGGGGGCGGCGACCUGGUGGUGGAUUUCGGCGAUCCAGGGGCAUUGGUGGGAGACGGCGUUGCGGCGGAGAGGCUCCUACCCUGGAUCUGGGUCAUUGUAUUUUUUUAAAUUUGAUUUUAGUAGUAUUAUUGUUAAUUGUUUGAUCAAUGUUUUCUUGAUUGUGGUAGAUUUGAGUUGUAGAAGGGGAUGAUCUUCUGAGGCUUUUUCUCACCAUGGAGUCAGUUAUCUCUUUCUCCCCUCCCCUCUCUCUCUCCACUUAGAAUUCAAGCUCAAGUUAUAAUACUUGCAUUAUAUAUAUAUGCAGUGAAACUAGCCUGCAAUAGCAAUUGGAGCAGCAUUUGGAAACUGUCUCUGAGCUUCAUCCAUUCCGGCUUCUUUGGGGGAAGAAGACAAGGUGAGCACUGGUUUGGAACUUCUUCUGCUUCUUUGCAUUCUCACACAUUAAUUUCAAGUAAAAUGUCAUCUCUCAAAUAAGAUUUGAUUUAUGUAAUUAGAUUGAAUUGGCGUUGACAGAUCUUGCUUUAUCUUCCUUUAUAUAUGCUGAUAGAAACAAAAAUAUGUUUAACUAACUGGUGAAGAACUAUUAUUGGAGGGAUUGUUGCUGACUAUUCUUGCAACUAUAGGAAAUGGCUCAUGUUUUCAGCUUUGUAGGAGUGUCAGCUUAUCACUUUGUAAAUUGUGUAGAAAUAUGUAAUGUAAAAAUAUUGGUAAAUUAAGAUGUGGCUUCAUUAAAUGUAAAUUGUGUCGAACUAUUGUUGAUUGUUUUGUUUGUUUGUUUAGCUAGCAAACUUUACCAAUUGAUGCAUCAAAUGGUUUGAGGGAUUUUGAAUAAAUAUGAUAUCAAGUCUAUUUUCGACUUUGAAGUAUUUGAUUUAUUCAUCCCCUACAGGAAAGAAAUUUGGCUUUAAAUGCAUCAUAUUUCCUAAAAGCUGGUGGCCACUUUGUCAUAUCUAUCAAGGUUUGUAUCUCUGAUUUCUUUUAAUGUCUGAUAGCUUAAUAGUAAGAAUCACUAAGCUUAAUAUUUCUGAUGUUCUUCUUAAGGUCUAAAAAUCAUAAGGCACGAAACUAAUGUAUAUGUAUUUCACUCAAUAUAAAUGUUGUUCUCACAUAAAGAAGUGAUUUUUUAAAAUCUUGUUGGGGAAAUAAUUUAUAGCCCAGCAACUUUGUUUUAUCCACUCGAACUCACUCUUGCUUCUUCUAGCUUGAGAAUUGAUUCUUUUAAAAACUGAAAUCACUUAAUGGAUUAAACUAACAAUUGGAGCAAUUAUAUUUUUUAGGUUAUUUUAACUUUGUUAUAUGUACUUUACAAUAUGUUAAAUUGUGUAUAUUGACUAAUAUUGUGUUUCUCUUAUCUUGACAGGAGUAAUUGAAAAAGUUAUCAUGAUGGUUAACCAAUGUUCAACUAUUCUAAUGUACAAUGGAAUUGCUUUUGAUCAAGAGCUCGAAGAAAAAUUAUCAGUCCUAGAUUAAUCGCGAAUUGUAGAUUAAGUGCUUAGUUAUUUAGAUAUUUAUAAUUAUAUGUAGUUAGUCAUUUCGCAC